CAACUCCUGAGCUACCCAAGGAGGUGCCAAUUUAUCCAAAAAAUCAUUGACUAAGGUUUCGGGAAUACUACUAUUACUAUUUUCAGAAAAAGCAGAUCUAAAUCUUCUGAUGGAACUCCACACAACAGUGGAUGGAGUGUUUGGAGAGACAGAAGUACAAAAUUUUCUCCAACUCUCAAAUUUUUUAUUCUUGAACAGUUUACGAGUAUCCGCAAUAGCUUUAGAUAAUAAUUGAAAAUUUGUAUCAGACAUGUCAUUUCUAUAAUUUUUCUCUGCUAUUUUCCUUUGCCUAACAGCCUCCGUACAUGCACUGUCCCACCAUGGGGGAGAAGGGAUUUUACGUGGCGAAUUAUUUUUAAUUGGAAAGACUUCUUUGGCAGCCUCUGUUAAAACGUGCGCUAGAGCUUCAGCACAAGCUAUUUCAUUACCAGGACUGAAAUUUGGGAGGGAAGAAAUCCUAUUUAUUACACUGCUUCUAUACUUAGUCCAAAGAUCACUAUCAUGGCUAUUGGGUAACUUAAAGGGAGAUCUAGAUAUUUGUUUGGAAGCUGAAACUUUAAAAUUAGGGAAAUAAAUGACUAUGGGGUAGUGAUCACUGCCAAAAGAUGACAAUAAAACCUCCCAAGUCAAUAAAGGCGCAAGAUUUGGUGUACAUAUAGAUAGGUCUACUGCACUGCUACUUUGGUUGGGUUGUGAACGGCGAGUUGGAGUACCAGAAUUUAAUAUAAAAAGGUUUUGAGAAUCUAAUACAUCUGCUAGUUCCUCGCCAUAACUAUUAGUAAAUGAACUUCCCCAGGACUGAUGAUGUGAGUUAAAGUCACCUAAAACUAUGUAAGGUCUAGGUAACAGAGAAAAAAUAUCAUUUAAGACACUGAAAAUGUCAGAUGAAGGAUAGGGAAUAUAUACAGAUACAAAACAUACAUUAUUUACAUUUACAGCUACUAUAGACAUAUUUACAUUAUGAGCAGGAAGAGAGAUUGAGGUGAAUGGUAGGCUAUUUUUUAUUAAUAAUGCAGCACCACCAUAACCAUCAGGUCGAUCAUCUCUUACUACUGAAUAACCUUUUAUUUUAAAACUGUACAUUGGUUUGAGCCAUGUCUCUGCCAAGGCAAAGACAGAGGGCUCGAACUUGUUCAAUAAAUAAAUCAAAUCUGACUUUUUGUUAAUAAUGCUGCGGCUAUUCCACUGCAGCACUGUCGCCAGCGUAUCCAUUUUUAACUACUUCUAAACAUUUAUCAAUUAUAUUAGCAGCGUGGGACGGUGAUGGGUUGGAUUGAGUUAACUGGAUUAAUGAAAUAAUUAAAUUAAUUAGGGUAAAUUGUUGACUGUUAAGUGAUUCCUGCUCUUUUUCUGAGGUUAGAGCACAGCCAUUUGAGGGGGUAGGUAUAGCAAAUUCUCUGAUAAGGGCAUUAUGAGCCUCUUGAUCAUAACCCUUGGUUAAUUGUGGAGUUGACCUUGGUUUCAUAAAAACUGUUUUUUUAUAUGAUAAAUUAUUAUUUACAUUAUUAUUUACAUUCUUAUCUACAUACUUAAUAGAUGAUGUUGAAGGGCUAGCUUUAGAGGUAAGAACAUCAGCAUAUGAUUUGGAGACAGGUGGGUGAAUUUUGGAAGCCUCUGCAUAAGAGAUACUAUUGUUGGCCAUAGAGGUCUUGAUGUUCUUUUGCCUUAAGAAUUCUGGACAAGAUUUAUUAGUUGCAAAAUGAUACCCACUGCAUAAGCAACAAGUAGCAUCCUCCUCAUCAACCUGGCAAGAUUCACCGGUGUGUGAUUGACCACAUUUGUAACACCGAGGCUUUGACCUACAUUGAAGUUUAGUAUGACCAAACCUACAACAAUUGUAGCACUGUAUGGUUGGAUACACAUAUAAAUCAACUGGCAGAGUGUUAUAGCACAUGUAAAUUCGCUUUGGCAGUAUUUGACCAUCAAAAGUCACUACUACGGACUGUGAAGGUUUCCACACAGGAGUUUUCCGAAAAUAACAGGGUGCAGUGUGGUUCCAGAGUCAGGUGAGACGAUACAGUAACAAAACUGGC